ensembl:lncRNA
AGGCUAGAACUCUCUGUACGCACAUUCAGUGAGGCAACUGUGAUCUCUGGAAUGUGAUCUGGUGUAGGAGAUGAUGCGGGUGUUCUUGUUCUAAAGGAUCAAGAGCCUCACCGUGAGUCCCAACACCAGACUGACAGAAGGAAGACUCUGUUUUCUCACUGGCACGUACAUCCUCAACUGUGAUAGCUGCACAAUCUGGACUGUGAACUUCUGUAGGAGAUGAUAACCGAUUCACAGCUUCUGCCUGUUCUGAUACCUCAGGCUUAUACUGUCUUCCUUGUUCUGGUCACCAAGGGACUCAAGACUCUUUUCUGCCUUUUCCUCCUCAUGCUUUUUGAGCUGGUCAACAUCUUUACUCAUGAGCGCUUCAUUAAAAGGCUCUGCUUCGCUUGUUGUGAGGCCUCUGAUGUUUCCUUUCCCAAUAUAGAUAUCUCAUUGUCAGCCUCUAGAUUUGCGGCAUCAUUACCAUCUAAUUGUUGUGCAGUAAUAUCAAGGCACUGAUGUUGGUUGUCUUGUUUUUGCCCAUCCUCCAGUGGAUUGCAUUGUGGGACAGAUGAUGACAUCACUUCAGCUGACGGGCUGCAGUCAACAUACCGGUCCUGUUCAACACAGCUCAAAGCCAUCUUGAGAUCCCAACGUCUGUCUGAGUGGUGGAAGGCUCAUUUUCCUUUAAGGCAUCUAUGAUGCCGGCUUCUAAAAUUCCCUCUUCUGCAUCUACUUGAUGUCAGCAUCUGUGUUCAUUUUGACAUUGAUGUCCUCAUUGGCAUAGUCUCCAUCUGUACUCAUGACUUCACUUGUCUCUUCCCUUUUCUGUUCUCUCUUUGUCCUGCGGGUUGACCCCAUCUUUCUCUUCUGUUUCGAGGCACCCUGUUUUACAUUCGCCUCUUCUGUGUGAUAUGGAAGUUUGAAGGUGGAUUCACAGUCGUCAUACUGUGCUGUCUUUUCCGGUGUAUCUGUGCUUUCCAUAGUAAGUGAUUGAGAAACAGACUGCUUGGUCUGUUCAUUGUGCAAUGCAUCAGAAAUGUCGGUACUAAUAUUUGAAACUUCUGGUUCCAUAGAGGAACUGAGAAUGUGAGUCUGUGUCCCUUGUUCAACUUCAUCACAGUGUUGGAUAUCAGGGCUGUAUGUCUCAAGGCUAGAACUCUCUGUACGCACAUUCAGUGAGGCAACUGUGAUCUCUGGAAUGUGAUCUGGUGUAGGAGAUGAUGGCGGGUGUUCUUGUUCUAAAGGAUCAAGAGCCUCACCGUGAGUCCCAACACCAGACUGACAGAAGGAAGACUCUGUUUUCUCACUGGCACGUACAUCCUCAACUGUGAUAGCUGCACAAUCUGGACUGUGAACUUCUGUAGGAGAUGAUAACCGAUUCACAGCUUCUGCCUGUUCUGAUACCCUCAGGCUUAUACUGUCUUCCUUGUUCUGGUCACCAAGGGACUCAAGACUCUUUUCUGCCUUUUCCUCCUCAUGCUUUUUGAGCUGGUCAACAUCUUUACUCAUGAGCGCUUCAUUAAAAGGCUCUGCUUCGCUUGUUGUGAGGCCCUCUGAUGUUUCCUUUCCCAAUAUAGAUAUCUCAUUGUCAGCUUCUAGAUUUGCGGCAUCAUUACCAUCUAAUUGUUGUGCAGUAAUAUCAAGGCACUGAUGUUGGUUGUCUUGUUUUUGCCCAUCCUCCAGUGGAUUGCAUUGUGGGACAGAUGAUGACAUCACUUCAGCUGACGGGCUGCAGUCAACAUACCGGUCCUGUUCAACACAGCUCAAAGCCAUCUUGAGAAGCCCAACGUCUGUCUGAGUGGUGGAAGGCUCAUUUUCCUUUAAGGCAUCUAUGAUGCCGGCUUCUAAAAUUCCCUCUUCUGCAUCUACUUUGAUGUCAGCAUCUGUGUUCAUUUUGACAUUGAUGUCCUCAUUGGCAUAGUCUCCAUCUGUACUCAUGACUUCACUUGUCUCUUCCCUUUUCUGUUCUCUCUUUGUCCUGCGGGUUGACCCCAUCUUUCUCUUCUGUUUCGAGGCACCCGGUUUUACAUUCGCCUCUUCUGUGUGAUAUGGAAGUUUGAAGGUGGAUUCACAGUCG